UUCAUGAAUUUUUUUUUGGUAUGAAAGGUAUUAACGAAUGUAAAGCGUCGGGACUAUUUCGUACAAAAAGUAUACGGUGAUAUGAUAAAUAAGUAUAUGAAAGUGUGUGACGGUAUACUGAAUAUUCAUAUACUUCCAUAUACUGGUGUUGUAUGGGAAAAAAUCAAAAAAAAGGUAUCCAAAUACUUCACAGUUUACAAGGAAAUAGUCAUAUACUUUUUCGUCGAUUUUUUUUGCUCGGGCUAC